UUAAUAAGUAUUUAUACUUUUCAUCUCUCCAGAACUGGAGUGCAUCUUCCUUUGGUAAAGAACAACAUUCUGGCAUCCCACAGUGGGAGCUUUCUAACAUCCAGUCAGAUAUCAAAUAUCCUCUCUGUAAACCUAAACAGCCCUAUUUGUACCCAAUUCCUGGAGGGUUAAAACCUGGAUUGGCUUUGUUUUUCCAAGGAGUAGUUCCUUUAGGAUCCAAGGGCUUUGAAAUAAAUCAAAAGGUUGGGCCACAUGAACAUGAUGAAAACAUCUUCCAGUUCAAGACUGACCUAUCAAGUGUGGUCUAUAAUAACUACCAUAAUGGUGCAUGGGAGCAAAAAA